rnacentral:rRNA from 1 species
UACGGGGGGGGCAAGCGUUGUUCGGAAUUACUGGGCGUAAAGGGCUCGUAGGCGGCCAACUAAGUCGGAUGUGAAAUCCCCAGGCUUAACCUGGGAACUGCAUCCGAUACUGGAUGGCUUGAAUCCGGGAGAGGGAUGCGGAAUUCCAGGUGUAGCGGUGAAAUGCGUAGAUAUCUGGAGGAACACCGGUGGCGAAGGCGGCAUCCUGGACCGGCAUUGACGCUGAGGAGCGAAAGCCAGGGAAGCAAACGGG